rnacentral:lncRNA from 11 species
GAAUGCAAUGCUAAGCAUAUAUACCUUGGAAGUAACUCCCAGUAAAUUGCAUGGGACAUAUUUCAAAGCAUAUAUCCAGAAAAGGAGGAUGGAAUAUUUUCUCUUGAUCCACUCAUGCCAUGUGCCUGGUCGAAGCCUUCAUGGUUAGAGGUCUCCAG